rnacentral:rRNA from 1 species
GCGAACGCUGGCGGCAGGCCUAACCCAUGCAAGUCGAACGAACUCUUCGGAGUUAGUGGCGGACGGGUGAGUAACACGUGGGAACGUGCCUUUAGGUUCGGAAUAACUCAGGGAAACUUGUGCUAAUACCGAAUGUGCCCUUCGGGGGAAAGAUUUAUCGCCUUUAGAGCGGCCCGCGUCUGAUUAGCUAGUUGGUGAGGGAAAGGCUCACCAAGGCGACGAUCAGUAGCUGGUCUGAGAGGAUGAUCAGCCACAUUGGGACUGAGACACGGCCCAAACUCCUACGGGAGGCAGCAGUGGGGAAUCUUGCGCAAUGGGCGACAGCCUGACGCAGCCAUGCCGCGUGAAUGAUGAAGGUCUUAGGAUUGUAAAAUUCUUUCACCGGGGACGAUAAUGACGGUACCCGGAGAAGAAGCCCCGGCUAACUUCGCG